rnacentral:lncRNA from 1 species
CUGACUUAAAGACUUACUGUAGAGCUUCAGCCAUUGAGAGACAGUGGGGCGGGCGUGAGGAGCGCCAAUAGGUCAAUGAAACAGGAGCGGCCAGAGAGACCCAUUCACGGAUGAUGCAAACGUUUCUGACAGAGGUGUCGAGGGAAUGCAACAUGAAGAAGAUAGCCUUUUUGACAAACAAGUUCUACAAUACUGAAUAAAUGACAGGGGACAAUGGCCUUAAUCUUUACCUACAUGACAGAAAAAAGUUAGUUUGAAACGGACGAUGGGCCUGAAUGUAAAGCUCAAACUAUAAAGCUUCCUGGGAAAAACACUGGAGAAAAUAUUUGUGAUCUGGACGUGGGCAAAGAUUUCUUGAACAGGACACGGAACACAAGAGCCACGAGAGAAAAUGAAAUUGGGACUCAUCGACACUGGCGACUCCUGCUCUUGGAAGUAUGUUUUUCAGGAAACGAAAAGGCAAACCGCGCACUGGGUGGCAAUUCUCACAACACUUCUUAGAAAAUUCUUACAAGUCAACACGAGGACAAAGAGCACUAUUGUUUUUUAAUGGGCAGGAUUUGAACCUCACCAAAUCCACGCCCCCGUGGCCACGAAAGGGUGGUCAGCGUCCACAGUCAUUUGGGAAACGGCGUGAAAACCACCGUGAGAUUCCACUCCACGCCCGUCAUGGUGAUGGAGAGGAAACGCUCUGACCACACCAAGUGUGGGAAGGACACGGAGUAAUUCGAGCUCCCACGUGCUGCUGGCGGGAGCCUAAAAUGGUACAACUUUGGACACCGGUUUGGCCAAUUCUUUGAGAGAGAAACACACACCUUCCCUAGGGCCCGGCAACUCCACUCCUAGUAACCAAGUGAAAUGAAAGGAUUUGUCCUCAGCAAAACGUGUGUGCGGAAGUUCACACUCACUUUCUCUGUGACAACCAAGAGCUGGAAACCACUGCCACGCCCACCAGCCGGUGAACAGAUUAACCCACUGGGCUAGAGCCACACAAUGAGAUGCUACUUGGCAACCGUGGACACACACUGCAUGGCGGACGAAUGUGCUGACAUGAGGCCACGUGAAGGGAGCCAGGCCCCAAGGUGCCACACUUUGUGAUUCAGGACCUUGCUGCCUCAUCCUCUUCCUGGCCUCCGCGAGUGCUUGUGUCUGAAGAACGCUGGGCAGGUGUCCCCAGAGGGUGGCUGGAGGGGCUCCGAAGCCACUUUCACUUUCUCCCUCCUCCACGUCUGCAUUGUUUGGGUUUGCAUCUGCCUAUGUGGCUUUUGCACCAGAAGUGGGAUGGAGAGACGUGUGAACCAGCAUUGCUGGGGGAAGGCUGGCCCCAGGGGACCCAUGGCUUUCCCAGAAGGGAGACCUGCCAUUGGAAAGCUGACUUCAGGCUGCUGCACAGGCCCCUCUCCGCCCUCAGCCCUGGCCUGCGGGAAUCCGGAAAGGGUGGGGUCCAGCUGCAUUACAAAGGGACUAAAGCCACUGAUUUGCACACUUGCCAGUGGCUGAAAUGGUCAAUAAAAACGUCGUGUACCUUUCACCACAGAGAAGAAAGCCCGCAGCCAAAGAGUGUAAAGAGGCUCCGAGGAGGCCCGGGUGCCCUGGAGAGACCCUGCAUCCUCACGACACGGCGUCCCUGUCCUGGAGUUCAAAGAGGCUCAGAGGAGGUUCGAGUGCCCUGGAGAGACCCUGCGUCCUGACGACACGGCGUCCCUGUCCUGCAGCGGAGGUUUCCCAGAUGAAGGGGUUCCUGGCGGGAGACAGGGCCCUGCACACGGGUCCUCUGCCACGCUGCUCACCAUGCCUGUGCGUUAUCUCACCAUGAAGUCACCUAGGCCGGGCAUGGUGCCUCAUGCCUGUAAUCCCAGCACUUUGGGAGGCAAAGGUGGGCGGAUCACCUGAGAUCAGGUGUUUGAGACCAUCCUGACUAACAUGGUGAAACCCCGUCUCUAGGAAGAAUACAAAAAUUAACUGG